rnacentral:rRNA from 1 species
AUGUCCGAGAGAGGUCUUUGGACGUUCCUCAUUUGCCAUGCCGCCGUUCCGUGGGAACCCGGUAGUCGGGAGCACCCCACCAUCUCUAGCAUGUUGCGCACAUCCGCACGCCUCCUUUUGCACCGGUAUGUCCGUGAGCUACCGGAACCGAUAUGUUGUUGUGGCAUCAUUUUCGGAUAUGUUGCCGUGGCACCAUUUAUAUUUCGCCGCCGUGGCACCUGUCGUGGUUCUAAGCCUGACAGUAGAGUGGGGGUAGGUAUGGAGAGGCAAGGUCCUAGCUAUGGAGAGGUUGUAAACACAGGAGAUGUACGAGUUCAUGCCCUUCUUGGAAGAAGUAAAAGCCCUACGUCUCGGAGCCCAGAGGCGGUCGAGUGGAUUAUGUGUAUAUGA